UCUUAUGGAUGAACAAUGAAAGUAGUUUCUUGAGAUGGAAUCUUUUCCUGAUGAAGAUGUUAUGAA
rnacentral:pre_miRNA from 1 species